rnacentral:misc_RNA from 1 species
UGACCAUAAGACUACUUGCCCAAUGGCUUGUUUGCUUAGUUGGUGCUUAUGGGAGAGCCUAGAAAAGUUAGGGGGUUAGGAAAAAAUCAGCAUUCUUUUUGUGCAGGGUAUAUGCUCCUUUUAUCACCAACAAAUUAGUGGAUUCAAAUGCUCAAGGAGGUAAUUUGAAGAAUGAUUUGCAAAUUGGACAUUGAUAAAGCUUAUGAUUGAAGUCUCUUACUAAUAUUCUUGAGAUUAUGAGACUUUGGUAAGUGGAGAAGAACAUGGAUGAAAGAAUACAUUUCCUUGCCUAGAUUUCCGUACUAGCAAUUUGUCUGGCUUUUUUCUGACCAGAAGAGGACUAAGGCAACAUCCUCCCAUUUUGUUCACCUUGAUUAGGGAGUUUCUAAUAAGAUGCUGGAAAAUGUCACUCAGGCAAGAUAUGCAAAGGGGGUUUCAGGUUGCUAGGUUGCAUAGAGAGUUUGUUCAGGCUUCUCAACCCUUUUUUUUCUGAUAAUUCCUUAAUUUCUCACAGCAUUUAUGCUAACCAAAUUCUUAAUGUAUUUCUCUUGGUUUUG